GGGUUUUCUGUAGUCUCUCUGGUGCUGCCCUGCGUUUCAAAGGCUUCAGAGUAAAUCGGUAGUCAUGGGUCACUCAAACGUCUGGAAUUCUCAUCCCAAGAACUACGGGCCUGGUUCUCGUGCCUGGUAUGAAAAUUUCCUUCUUUCUUUAUGUUUCCCGAGAAAAUUGAAGGAAAAAAAAGUUGAAACUACACGUUGAAACGUAUUCCUAUUUCUUAUACCUAAUGUUUUAAUUGAUGAAAGCGCUGUAAGAAGUAAUCCUUUUGCUAUGCUUUGAUAUAUUGGUUUAAGUAGAUUUACUUGGAUACCCAUAUGAACACUUGAUGAGAUUGGAUUCUUCUUGAUUUUCGUAUUUCAUUUGUUAUAAUCGUGUAGUUGUGUGCCUUGUUCAUUAUUAGGCUUUUGGACCUUCUAACGUAUUGUUCAAGAUAGCUUUUGCUGCUUUGUUCUUGGGUUUCUUCUCUCCAAUAUUUGGGAUGCGAUAUUGAUUUGGCAAUGCUUAGCCUCUCUUUGUUACUACGUUGCCAUAAUAUUUUUUACUGCAUCAUUGUUCUUAAUGUAUUUGUUCACGAGGUAGAAUAAAAUCAUCUGAUUUUUGUUUCCUUGUGGUGUUAGCCGUGUUUGUGGGAAUCCCCAUGGGUUGAUCCGGAAGUAUGGACUCAUGUGUUGCAGACAGUGCUUUCGUAGCAAUGCCAAGGAAAUUGGCUUCAUCAAGUAUCGCUGAAGGAUAAACACCUCAUCCGCUAAAGGAGAGAACAAGUAUGAUUCAAGAGUAGUGGUUUCUGUUUUGAUGAACUUGAAGAAAUGUUUAAUUUUGGUGAUGUAUUGUUGAACUUGGGUUGAUGUUAGACCACAAUUAUUUUUGAAUGCUAUGAGAAUAUUUUGUGGGUUUCAUUUAUGGAUGAUUACUCCUCUUAUUUCAUCUUGUUUUUUGUUCUGUAUUCUUUCAUCUGAUAAUUAUAUGGCCUUUUUAACAGCUGCAAAAAAAGGCAGGUGCUGUUUCCUAGUUGUAGAGUUGAUUGUUUUAUUUUAAACUUACAAAUUGUUGCAAUAUGUUCCACUUCUUGGCUGGGGGAACAACUGCAGUACACUCAUUCACAUUUGUAAGUUUAGACGGUGAAUCAAUUUGCUCAAGUUUUCUUGUCUCAUGUCGAGUUGUUGACAACUAGGAUGUGCACUGACGAGCGUAA
rnacentral:misc_RNA from 1 species